rnacentral:tRNA from 1 species
CCUAGGGUGGCCGAGUGGUUAAGGCUGUUAACUUAAGAUCCCCUGGGGUGUCCCUGCGUGGGUUCAAAUCACACUUCUAGAA